GAUGAACGCUAGCGGCAGGCCUAAUACAUGCAAGUCGAACGAUAUUUUCCAGCUUGCUGGAAGAAAAAGUGGCGCUCGGGUGCGUAACGCGUAUGCAACCUACCUUAAUCAGGGGGAUAGCCCGGAGAAAUCCGGAUUAACACCGCAUAAAAACACAGGAUAGCAUUAUCCAAUGUUCAAAUAUUUAUAGGAUUGAGAUGGGCAUGCGUGUCAUUAGCUAGUUGGCGGGGUAACGGCCCACCAAGGCGACGAUGAUUAGGGGAUCUGAGAGGAUGACCCCCCACACUGGUACUGAGACACGGACCAGACUCCUACGGGAGGCAGCAGUAAGGAAUAUUGGUCAAUGGAGGCAACUCUGAACCAGCCAUGCCGCGUGCAGGAAGACUGCCCUAUGGGUUGUAAACUGCUUUUAUCCGGGAAUAAACCUCUUUACGUGUAAAGAGCUGAAUGUACCGGAAGAAUAAGGAUCGGCUAACUCCGUGCCAGCAGCCGCGGUAAUACGGAGGAUCCAAGCGUUAUCCGGAUUUAUUGGGUUUAAAGGGUGCGUAGGCGGCCUGUUAAGUCAGGGGUGAAAGACGGUAGCUCAACUAUCGCAGUGCCCUUGAUACUGAUGGGCUUGAAUGGACUAGAGGUAGGCGGAAUGAGACAAGUAGCGGUGAAAUGCAUAGAUAUGUCUCAGAACACCGAUUGCGAAGGCAGCUUACUAUGGUCUUAUUGACGCUGAGGCACGAAAGCGUGGGGAUCAAACAGGAUUAGAUACCCUGGUAGUCCACGCCCUAAACGAUGAACACUCGCUGUUGGCGAUACACAGUCAGCGGCUAAGCGAAAGCGUUAAGUGUUCCACCUGGGGAGUACGGUCGCAAGAUUGAAACUCAAAGGAAUUGACGGGGGCCCGCACAAGCGGAGGAGCAUGUGGUUUAAUUCGAUGAUACGCGAGGAACCUUACCCGGGCUUGAAAGUUAGUGAAUGAUUUAGAGAUAGAUCAGUCCGCAAGGACACGAAACUAGGUGCUGCAUGGCUGUCGUCAGCUCGUGCCGUGAGGUGUUGGGUUAAGUCCCGCAACGAGCGCAACCCCUAUGUUUAGUUGCCAGCACGUUAUGGUGGGGACUCUAAACAGACUGCCUGUGCAAACAGAGAGGAAGGAGGGGACGACGUCAAGUCACCAUGGCCCUUACGUCCGGGGCUACACACGUGCUACAAUGGAUGGUACAGAGGGCAGCUACAUAGCAAUAUGAUGCGAAUCUCACAAAGCCAUUCACAGUUCGGAUUGGGGUCUGCAACUCGACCCCAUGAAGUUGGAUUCGCUAGUAAUCGCGUAUCAGCAAUGACGCGGUGAAUACGUUCCCGGGCCU
rnacentral:rRNA from 1 species